GCACGGAUGGCGAAGUGGUUAACGCGCUCGGCUGCAGCCCGAGUAUUCCGUAGGUUCGAAUCCUGCUCCGUGCU
rnacentral:tRNA from 1 species